AGCGAACGCUGGCGGCAGGCUUAACACAUGCAAGUCGAGCGGGCGUAGCAAUACGUCAGCGGCAGACGGGUGAGUAACGCGUGGGAACAUACCUUUUGGUUCGGAACAACACAGGGAAACUUGUGCUAAUACCGGAUAAGCCCUUACGGGGAAAGAUUUAUCGCCGAAAGAUUGGCCCGCGUCUGAUUAGCUAGUUGGUGAGGUAACGGCUCACCAAGGCGACGAUCAGUAGCNGGUCUGAGAGGAUGAUCAGCCACAUUGGGACUGAGACACGGCCCAAACUCCUACGGGAGGCAGCAGUGGGGAAUAUUGGACAAUGGGCGCAAGCCUGAUCCAGCCAU
rnacentral:rRNA from 1 species